rnacentral:rRNA from 1 species
UACGUAGGGUGCGAGCGUUAAUCGGAAUUACUGGGCGUAAAGCGUGCGCAGGCGGGCUUUUAAGCCAGACGUGAAAGCCCCGGGCUUAACCUGGGAAUGGCGUUUGGGACUGGAAGUCUGGAGUACGGCAGAGGAGACUGGAAUUCCUGGUGUAGCAGUGAAAUGCGUAGAUAUCAGGAGGAACACCGAUGGCGAAGGCAGGUCUCUGGGCUGAUACUGACGCUCAUGCACGAAAGCGUGGGGAGCAAACAGG